AGUGAACGCUGGCGGUAGGCCUAACACAUGCAAGUCGAACGGCAGCACAGUGCUUGCUUGCUGUUACAGGGGGGGAGGGGCGGGCGAGGCCGGGGUAUAUCCCAAGCUGCGGUGUCGUGGGGGAUAACGUAGGGGAACAUACGGCAAUAGCCCAGACGACGUACGGGGGGAAUCAUCGGAUCUUCGGAUCUUGCGCGAGUGUAGGAGCCGAUGUCGGAUUGGCUAGUUGGCGGGGUAAAGGCCUACCAAGGCGACGAUCCGUAGCUGGUCUGAGAGGAUGAUCAGCCACACUGGAACUGAGACACGGUCCAGACUCCUACGGGAGGCAGCAGUGGGGAAUAUUGGACAAUGGGCGAAAGCCUGAUCCAGCCAUACCGCGUGUGUGAAGAAGGCCUUCGGGUUGUAAAGCCCUUUUGUUGGGAAAGAAAAGCAGUAGGUUAAUACCUCGCUGUUCUGACGGUACCAACAGAAUAAGCACCGGCUAACUUCGUG
rnacentral:rRNA from 1 species